rnacentral:rRNA from 1 species
GAUGAACGCUAGCAGCAGGCCUAACACAUGCAAGUCGAGGGGCAGCACAUAAAGUGGUUUACUACUUUUGGUGGCGACCGGCGGACGGGUGCGUAACGCGUAUGCAACCUGCCUCCAACAGGGGGAUAACGGAGAGAAAUUUCCACUAAUACCCCAUAAUAUCAGAAUCGGCAUCGGUUUUGGUUGAAAACUCCGGUGGUUGGAGAUGGGCAUGCGUUGUAUUAGAUAGUUGGUGAGGUAACGGCUCACCAAGUCAACGAUACAUAGGGGGACUGAGAGGUUCGCCCCCCACACUGGUACUGAGACACGGACCAGACUCCUACGGGAGGCAGCAGUGAGGAAUAUUGGUCAAUGGGGGCAACCCUGAACCAGCCAUGCCGCGUGCAGGAAGACGGCACUAUGAGUUGUAAACUGCUUUUACAAGGGGAUAAAUCGGUGUACGUGUACACCGUUGAAGGUACCUUGGGAAUAAGGAUCGGCUAACUCCGUGCCAGCCGCCGCCGUAA